AGCAGUCGCCACGGUAAUACGAAGGGUGCAAGCGUUAAUCGGAAUUACUGGGCGUAAAGCGUGCGUAGGUGGUGGUUUAAGUCCGUUGUGAAAGCCCUGGGCUCAACCUGGGAAUUGCAGUGGAUACCGGGUCACUAGAGUGUGGUAGGGGAUAGUGGAAUUUCCGGUGUAGCAGUGAAAUGCGUAGAGAUCGGAAGGAACAUCUGUGGCGAAGGCGACUAUCUGGGCCAACACUGACACUGAGGCACGAAAGCGUGGGGAGCAAACAGGAUUAGAUACCCCCGUAGUCCCUGUCUCUUAUAC
rnacentral:rRNA from 1 species